UACAGAGGUCCCAAGCGUUGUUCGGAUUCACUGGGCGUAAAGGGUGCGUAGGCGGUCGGGUAAGUCUGAUGUGAAAUCUCCAAGCUUAACUUGGAAAUGGCAUCGGAUACUAUUCGGCUCGAGGAAUGGAGGGGGAGAUUGGAAUACUUGGUGUAGCAGUGAAAUGCGUAGAUAUCGUAAGGAAGACCAGUGGCGAAGGCGAGUCUCUGGACAGCAACUGACGCUGAGGCACGAAGGCCCAGGGGGAGCAAAACGGGGAUUAGAAA
rnacentral:rRNA from 1 species